AGCGUACACGGUGGAUGCCCUGGCAGUCAGAGGCGAUGAAGGACGUGCUAAUCUGCGAAAAGCGCCGGCGAGGUGAUAUGAACCUUUGACCCGGCGAUGUCCGAAUGGGGAAACCCAGUGUGUUCCGACACACUAUCGUUAACUGAAUACAUAGGUUAACGAGGCGAACCGGGGGAACUGAAACAUCUAAGUACCCCGAGGAAAAGAAAUCAACCGAGAUUCCCCCAGUAGCGGCGAGCGAACGGGGAGCAGCCCAGAGUCUGAAUCAGCUUGUGUGUUAGUGGAAGCGUCUGGAAAGUCGCACGGUACAGGGUGACAGUCCCGUACACGAAAGCACACAGGUUGUGAACUCGAAGAGUAGGGCGGGACACGUGGUAUCCUGUCUGAAUAUGGGGGGACCAUCCUCCAAGGCUAAAUACUCCUGACUGACCGAUAGUGAACCAGUACCGUGAGGGAAAGGCGAAAAGAACCCCGGCGAGGGGAGUGAAAAAGAACCUGAAACCGUGUACGUACAAGCAGUGGGAGCCUCUUUAUGGGGUGACUGCGUACCUUUUGUAUAAUGGGUCAGCGACUUAUAUUCUGUAGCAAGGUUAACCGUAUAGGGGAGCCGAAGGGAAACCGAGUCUUAACUGGGCGUUAAGUUGCAGGGUAUAGACCCGAAACCCGGUGAUCUAGCCAUGGGCAGGUUGAAGGUUGGGUAACACUAACUGGAGGACCGAACCGACUAAUGUUGAAAAAUUAGCGGAUGACUUGUGGCUGGGGGUGAAAGGCCAAUCAAACCGGGAGAUAGCUGGUUCUCCCCGAAAGCUAUUUAGGUAGCGCCUCGUGAACUCAUCUUCGGGGGUAGAGCACUGUUUCGGCUAGGGGGCCAUCCCGGCUUACCAACCCGAUGCAAACUACGAAUACCGAAGAAUGUUAUCACGGGAGACACACGGCGGGUGCUAACGUCCGUCGUGAAGAGGGAAACAACCCAGACCGCCAGCUAAGGUCCCAAAGUCAUGGUUAAGUGGGAAACGAUGUGGGAAGGCACAGACAGCCAGGAUGUUGGCUUAGAAGCAGCCAUCAUUUAAAGAAAGCGUAAUAGCUCACUGGUCGAGUCGGCCUGCGCGGAAGAUGUAACGGGGCUAAACCAUGCACCGAAGCUGCGGCAGCGACACUAUGUGUUGUUGGGUAGGGGAGCGUUCUGUAAGCCGUUGAAGGUGUCCUGUGAGGGGUGCUGGAGGUAUCAGAAGUGCGAAUGCUGACAUAAGUAACGAUAAAGCGGGUGAAAAGCCCGCUCGCCGGAAGACCAAGGGUUCCUGUCCAACGUUAAUCGGGGCAGGGUGAGUCGACCCCUAAGGCGAGGCCGAAAGGCGUAGUCGAUGGGAAACAGGUUAAUAUUCCUGUACUUGGUGUUACUGCGAAGGGGGGACGGAGAAGGCUAUGUUAGCCGGGCGACGGUUGUCCCGGUUUAAGCAUGUAGGCGGAGGUUCCAGGUAAAUCCGGUUCCUUGUUAACGCUGAGGUGUGAUGACGAGGCACUACGGUGCUGAAGUAACAAAUGCCCUGCUUCCAGGAAAAGCCUCUAAGCAUCAGGUAACAUCAAAUCGUACCCCAAACCGACACAGGUGGUCAGGUAGAGAAUACCAAGGCGCUUGAGAGAACUCGGGUGAAGGAACUAGGCAAAAUGGUGCCGUAACUUCGGGAGAAGGCACGCUGAUAUGUAGGUGAAGCCCCUGCGGGUGGAGCUGAAAUCAGUCGAAGAUACCAGCUGGCUGCAACUGUUUAUUAAAAACACAGCACUGUGCAAACACGAAAGUGGACGUAUACGGUGUGACGCCUGCCCGGUGCCGGAAGGUUAAUUGAUGGGGUUAGCGGUAACGCGAAGCUCUUGAUCGAAGCCCCGGUAAACGGCGGCCGUAACUAUAACGGUCCUAAGGUAGCGAAAUUCCUUGUCGGGUAAGUUCCGACCUGCACGAAUGGCGUAAUGAUGGCCAGGCUGUCUCCACCCGAGACUCAGUGAAAUUGAACUCGCUGUGAAGAUGCAGUGUACCCGCGGCAAGACGGAAAGACCCCGUGAACCUUUACUAUAGCUUGACACUGAACACUGGUCCUUGAUGUGUAGGAUAGGUGGGAGGCUUUGAAGCGUGGACGCCAGUCUGCGUGGAGCCAACCUUGAAAUACCACCCUUUAAUGGCUGGUGUUCUAACGUAGACCCGUGAUCCGGGUUGCGGACAGUGUCUGGUGGGUAGUUUGACUGGGGCGGUCUCCUCCCAAAGAGUAACGGAGGAGCACGAAGGUUAGCUAAUCCUGGUCGGACAUCAGGAGGUUAGUGCAAUGGCAUAAGCUAGCUUGACUGCGAGAGUGACGGCUCGAGCAGGUGCGAAAGCAGGUCAUAGUGAUCCGGUGGUUCUGAAUGGAAGGGCCAUCGCUCAACGGAUAAAAGGUACUCCGGGGAUAACAGGCUGAUACCGCCCAAGAGUUCAUAUCGACGGCGGUGUUUGGCACCUCGAUGUCGGCUCAUCACAUCCUGGGGCUGAAGUAGGUCCCAAGGGUAUGGCUGUUCGCCAUUUAAAGUGGUACGCGAGCUGGGUUUAGAACGUCGUGAGACAGUUCGGUCCCUAUCUGCCGUGGGCGCUGGAGAAUUGAGGGGGGCUGCUCCUAGUACGAGAGGACCGGAGUGGACGCAUCACUGGUGUUCGGGUUGUCAUGCCAAUGGCACUGCCCGGUAGCUAAAUGCGGAAGAGAUAAGUGCUGAAAGCAUCUAAGCACGAAACUUGCCCCGAGAUGAGUUCUCCCUGAGACUUUAAGUCUCCUGAAGGAACGUUGAAGACUACGACGUUGAUAGGUCGGGUGUGUAAGCGCAGCGAUGCGUUGAGCUAACCGAUACUAAUGAACCGUGAGGCUUAACC
rnacentral:rRNA from 1 species